UUUUUUUACAUACUGCUGGAUUUAACUUGCUAGUAUGUUACGAAUUUCUUUCAUCGGGAGUUCCUGUCAUGGCACAGUGGUUAACGAAUCUGACUAGGAACCUGAGCCACGACGGGAACUCCCAACCCUGGGUCCUUUAAACCACUGCUCUGGGCUGGAGAUUAAACCUAAACCUCUGCAGUGACUGGGGCUGCUCCAUUCAGGUUCUUAACCCACUGCACCACAGCAGGAACUCCCAUACAUUACUUCACUAUGGAAUGAAACAAAAUGGUAAUAAUGAUGAAUGGUAGCAUUAUAAUAGAGAUGUAUAGUGGGCACUAAAAAAUUUCCAGAUAAAUGGCUGGGCUUGACUUGAUUUCUAAUGGACUAGAGAGUGUUGAGUUUCUUCGUUAAGAAAGGAAGGGAGAAAGGGAGGGAAAGAGGGAAAGAGAGAGGAGUUCCUGUCGUGGCUCAGUCUCAGUGGUUAAGGAAUCCCACUAGGAACCAUGAGGUUGCGGGUUCGAUCCAUGGCCUUGCUCAGUGGGUUAAGGAUCCGGCGUUGCCAUGAGCUGUGGUAUAGGUUGCAGAUGUGGCUCGGAUCUCGUGUGGCUGUGGCUCUGGCGUAGGCCGGGGGCUACAGCUCUGAUUAGACCCCUAGCCUGGGAACCUCCAUAUGCCAAGGGAGCGGCCCAAGAAAUGGCAAAAAGACAAAAAAAAAAAAAAAAAAAAAAAGGGAAAAAUAAAGAGGGAGAGAGACAAGGAAAGAAAGAAUAAAGAAAAGUAGGAAGACAAAGGAAAAGAAGGAAAAGAUCAUCAGUGUCAUGCUCAGCAUCUGGCUGACACGUACCAUGUGCUGGUCCAUUUUUCCAUCCCUGUGGUAAAACACUUAAAAAAAUAAUCUCUUCCCAACAUAGUUCAUUCUUUUCUUGUGAAACAUUUCUCAUUGUUUGCCUUUUAUUAUUUUUAGCUGAUGAAAAGCCAGCCACUCACUGAAAACUUUCCCAGGAGGUAUGGAAAGAACCAUGGAACCGCAUUCCAAAUUUCUCAUUGCAAGUUGAUUACAUGUAAAACUGACUGUCCUCCUCUGUCUUUCCUGGAAAACACACACGAAUGUUUUUUUUGUAACAGCUCCAACUGCUCUUGUAGAUUCAAUCAUGGGUUGUCUUCAUAACACUCACCAAACGGGAUUUUUGGCAGGGGAUUUUUGCCUCGUUUGACCUCUUUCUUUUGAAUGGCCUACGACAGACCGUUUCCACUUGUUAAGUCUGGCUUCAAAAAUCUACCUAAAUUCUCCUUCUCUAGCAAGCCACUGUCUUCCUACUGAAUGGUAUUUAAGGAUUAAAUAUCUGAAGAUCUUUAGUCUUCACUUUCUGCUAGUCCUCUAGUAUUGUUGGUGUGAACAAUGGGAUGUUUAUUCCCAGACUAUUCUAGCUAUUGUAAUUCCCUUCAAGUCUUUUCAGGUGAAACUAAUCCUUGCAUUCAUUCUAGCAAGGUGGGUUUCUUUUCUGUGCAUUUUUUUUUUUCCUAUUAGGGCCACACCUGCGGCAUAUGGACGUUCCUGGCUAGAGGUCAAAUCGGAGCUCCAGCUGCUGGCCACUGCCACAGCAAGCAGGAUCACAGCUACAUCUUUGACCUAGGCCACAGCUCAUGGCAACAUCAGAUCCUUAAUCCACUGAUCGAGGUCAGGGAUCAAACCCACAUGCUCAGGGACACUAUGUCGGGUUCUUAACGUGCUGAGCCACAACAGAAACACAUGUGCAUUAUUUUCUAUAAUUGAAAAAUGGAUAUAAACUCGUCAUGCUUCUUCCUGAAGAAAGCUGUGCUAAUCAAAUGAAAUGAUAUAGUUAAAAAUUAUUUAAAUGUUCAAAAGCGAAAAAAAAAAAAAAAAGGAGUUCCUGUUGUGGCACAGCAUGGGAACGAAUCCAACUAGGAACCUUGAGGUGGCAGGUUCCAUUUCUACCCUCACUCAGUGGGUUAAGGAUCUGGCAUUGUCAUGAGCUGUGGUGUAGUUCGGCAGCUACAGCUCCGAUUUGACCCCUAGCCCCCUAUCCUGGGAACUUCCAUAGGCCACAGGUGUGGUCCUAAAAAGCAAAAAAAAAAAAAAAAAAAA
rnacentral:lncRNA from 1 species